rnacentral:rRNA from 1 species
UACAGAGGUCCCAAGCGUUGUUCGGAUUCAUUGGGCGUAAAGGGUGCGUAGGCGGCGCGGUAAGUCGGGUGUGAAAUCGUCGGGGCUUAACUCCGAAACUGCAUUCGAUACUGCCGUGCUUGAGGACUGGAGAGGAGACUGGAAUUUACGGUGUAGCGGUGAAAUGCGUAGAUAUCGUAAGGAAGACCAGUGGCGAAGGCGGGUUUCUGGAGAGUUCCUGACGCUGAGGCACGAA